CGCGGACAUCAGUGGCAGCCUUCCUGAUUAUGAAGGACAAUGGACUUUUUCAUGAAGGAAAAAUUGCAACAAUAGAAUUUCUGCCUGUUAAUUGAAACAUUUCAAGGCCUUCGUGCAGAAAUUGUCUUUAAGCUCUUCCUGCUGUCUGCACCAUACCACACUAAUGGAAAAUUGGUGUGCACAUCAUACACAGAAAUGAAGCGGUCCUUCAUUGACAUUAAACCUGUAAGUAAAAGCAACACUUAAAAUUACAGUGCCCUGUGAAAUCAAGUCACCUUUAUUU